rnacentral:rRNA from 1 species
GGGAGAAGCCCUUUCGGGGGCAGAAACCGGCGCACGGGUGCGUAACGCGUAUGCAACCUACCUUUCACAGGGAGAUAGCCCGAAGAAAUUUGGAUUAAUACCCCAUAAUAUUGUUGGAUGGCAUCAUCUGGCAAUUAAAACUGCGGUGGUGAAAGAUGGGCAUGCGUCCUAUUAGCUAGUUGGAGUGGUAACGGCACCCCAAGGCUACGAUAGGUAGGGGUCCUGAGAGGGAGAUCCCCCACACUGGUACUGAGACAGGGACCAGACUCCUACGGGAGGCAGCAGUGAGGAAUAUUGGUCAAUGGUCGGAAGACUGAACCAGCCGUGCCGCGUGCAGGAAGAAUGCCUUAUGGGUUGUAAACUGCUUUUAUAUGGGAAGAAUAAGGUGUACGAGUACAUUGAUGACGGUACCAUAUGAAUAAGCAUCGGCUAACUCCGUGCCAGCAGCCGCGGUAAUACGGAGGAUGCGAGCGUUAUUCGGAAUCAUUGGGUUUAAAGGGUCUGUAGGCGGGCUAUUAAGUCAGGGGUGAAAGGUUUCAGCUUAACUGAGAAAUUGCCUUUGAUACUGGUAGUCUUGAAUAUCUGUGAAGUUCUUGGAAUGUGUAGUGUAGCGGUGAAAUGCUUAGAUAUUACACAGAACACCGAUUGCGAAGGCAGGGGACUAACAGACAAUUGACGCUGAGAGACGAAAGCGUGGGGAGCGAACAGGAUUAGAUACCCUGGUAGUCCACGCUGUAAACGAUGGAUACUAGCUGUUUGGUGAUAAGCUGAGUGGCUAAGCGAAAGUGAUAAGUAUCCCAC